rnacentral:rRNA from 1 species
GACGAACGCUGGCGGCGUGCCUAAUACAUGCAAGUUGAGCGCUGAAGGUUGGUACUUGUACCAACUGGAUGAGCAGCGAACGGGUGAGUACCGCGUGGGGAAUCUGCCUUUGAGCGGGGGACAACAUUUGGAAACGAAUGCUAAUACCGCAUAAAAACUUUAAACACAAGUUUUAAGUUUGAAAGAUGCAAUUGCAUCACUCAAAGAUGAUCCCGCGUUGUAUUAGCUAGUUGGUGAGGUAAAGGCUCACCAAGGCGAUGAUACAUAGCCGACCUGAGAGGGUGGUCGGCCACAUUGGGACUGGGACACGGCCCAAACUCCUACGGGAGGCAGCAGUAGGGAAUCUUCGGCAAUGGACGAAAGGCUGACCGAGCAACGCCGCGGGAGGGAAGAAGGUUUUCGGAUCGUAAAACUCUGUUGGUAGAGAAGAACGUUGGUGAGAGUGGAAAGCUCAUCAAGUGACGGUAACUACCCAGAAAGGGACGGCUAACUACGUG